CUCUAAAAAGACUGCCGGUGAUAAAUCGGAGGAAGGUGGGGAUGACGUCAAAUCAGCAUGGCCCUUACGCCCUGGGCUACACACAUGAUACAAUGGUCGGUACAAAGGGACGCUAAGCCAAAAGGUGGAGCAAAUCCCAACAAAGCCGAUCUCAGUUCGGAUUGAGGUCUGCAACUCGACCUCAUGAAGCUGGAAUCGCUAGUAACCGUGUAUCAGCUAUGGCACGGUGAAUACGUUCUCGGGUCUUGUACUCACCGCCCGUCACUGCAAGCGAGCCGGGGGCACCCGAAAGUCCGCGUUGGCGGAAAUAAGGUGAAUCUGGUAAGAGGGCAGAAGUCGUAACAAGGCACCCGUAGCGGAAGCUGUGGGUGGAGUAUAUAUUUU
rnacentral:rRNA from 1 species